GUGAGGAAUAUUGCGCAAUGGAGGCAACUCUGACGCAGCCAUGCCGCGUGCAGGAAGAAGGCACUACGCGUUGUAAACUGCUUUUAACCGGGAAGAAACCCCAGGACGUGUCCUGGGUUGACGGUACCGGAGGAAUAAGCACCGGCUAACUUCGUGCCAGCAGCCGCGGUAAUACGAAGGGUGCAAGCGUUAUCCGGAUUCAUUGGGUUUAAAGGGUGGGUAGGCGGAGCGUUAAGUCAGUGGUGAAAUCCUGCAGCUUAACUGUAGACUUGCCAUUGAUACUGGCGCUCUUGAGUGCGCUUGAAGUGGGCGGAAUGUGCCGUGUAGCGGUGAAAUGCUUAGAUAUGGCACAGAACACCAAUUGCGAAGGCAGCUCACUAAGGCGAUACUGACGCUGAGGCACGAAAGCGUGGGGAUCGAACAGGAUUAGAUACCCCGGUAGUCC
rnacentral:rRNA from 1 species